CGGGGUGCAGCAGGCGCGAAAACUUUACAAUGCUGGAAACAGCGAUAAGGGGGCCUCGAGUGCCAGGUUACAAAUCUGGCUGUCGUGAUGCCUAAAAAGCAUUGCAUAGCAAGGGCCGGGCAAGACCGGUGCCAGCCGCCGCGGUAACACCGGCGGCUCGAGUGGUAACCGUUAUUAUUGGGUCUAAAGGGUCUGUAGCCGGCCGGAUAAGUCUCUUGGGAAAUCCAGCAGCUCAACUGUUGGGCUUUCAGGAGAUACUGUCUGGCUCGAGGCCGGGAGAGGUGAGAGGUACUUCAGGGGUAGGGGUGAAAUCUUGUAAUCCUUGAAGGACCACCAGUGGCGAAGGCGUCUCACCAGAACGGACCUGACGGCAAGGGACGAAAGCUAGGGGCACGAACCGGAUUAGAUACCCGGGUAGUCCUAGCCGUAAACGAUACUCGCUAGGUGUCGGCCACGGUGCGACCGUUGUCGGUGCCGUAGGGAAGCCGUGAAGCGAGCCACCUGGGAAGUACGGCCGCAAGGCUGAAACUUAAAGGAAUUGGCGGGGGA
rnacentral:rRNA from 1 species